rnacentral:rRNA from 1 species
UUCGGGUGCUUAAAAUGCCAGUCGAGCGAGCUGAAUUCAAAGAUUCCUUCGGGAUGAUUUGUUGGACGCUAGCGGCGGAUGGGUGAGUAACACGUGGGCAAUCUGCCCUAAAGACUGGGAUACCACUUGGAAACAGGUGCUAAUACCGGAUAACAACAUGAAUCGCAUGAUUCAAGUUUGAAAGGCGGCGUAUGCUGUCACUUUAGGAUGAGCCCGCGGCGCAUUAGCUUGUUGGUGGGGUAAAGGCCGCCAGCGUUCAUCCUGAGCCAAA